UCGAACGGGGAUGCAUUAAGAAGGAGUGCUUGCAUUCCGGAAGGAUGUAUCUUAGUGGCGGACGGGUGAGUAACGCGUGGGUAACCUGCCCCAUACCGGGGGAUACCACCUGGAAACAGGUGCUAAUACCGCAUAAGCGCACGGGAGCGCAUGCUCCUGUGUGAAAAACUCCGGUGGUAUGGGAUGGACCCGCGUCUGAUUAGCCAGUUGGCAGGGUAACGGCCUACCAAAGCGACGAUCAGUAGCCGGCCUGAGAGGGUGGACGGCCACAUUGGGACUGAGACACGGCCCAAACUCCUGCGGGAGGCAGCAGUGGGGAAUAUUGCACAAUGGGGGAAACCCUGAUGCAGCGACGCCGCGUGAGUGAAGAAGUAUUUCGGUAUGUAAAGCUCUAUCAGCAGGAACGAGACAAGACGGUACCUGACUAAGAAGCCCCGGCUAACUACGUGCCAGCAGCCGCGGUAAUACGUAGGGGGCAAGCGUUAUCCGGAAUCACUGGGUGUAAAGGGAGCGUAGACGGCUGACCAAGCCUGAAGUGAAAGGCGGGGGCCCAACCCCCGGACUGCUUUGGGAACUGUACGGCUGGAGUGCAGGAGAGGUAAGUGGAAUUCCUAGUGUAGCGGUGAAAUGCGUAGAUAUUAGGGGAAACACCAGUGGCGAAGGCGGCUUACUGGACUGUAACUGACGUUGAGGCUCGAAAGCGUGGGGAG
rnacentral:rRNA from 1 species